GUGGGGAAUUUUGGACAAUGGGCGCAAGCCUGAUCCAGCAAUACCGCGUGUGUGAAGAAGGCCUUCGGGUUGUAAAGCACUUUUGUCCGGAAAGAAAUGGCCUGGGUUAAUACCCCGGGUCGAUGACGGUACCGGAAGAAUAAGCACCGGCUAACUACGUGCCAGCAGCCGCGGUAAUACGUAGGGUGCGAGCGUUAAUCGGAAUUACUGGGCGUAAAGCGUGCGCAGGCGGCGAUGCAAGACAGAUGUGAAAUCCCCGGGCUCAACCUGGGAACUGCAUUUGUGACCGCAUGGCUAGAGUGCGUCAGAGGGGGGUGGAAUUCCGCGUGUAGCAGUGAAAUGCGUAGAGAUGCGGAGGAACACCGAUGGCGAAGGCAGCCCCCUGGGAUGACACUGACGCUCAUGCACGAAAGCGUGGGGAGCAAACAGGAUUAGAUACCCGGGUAGUCC
rnacentral:rRNA from 1 species